rnacentral:rRNA from 1 species
GACAGAGGGUGCAAACGUUGUUCGGAAUUACUGGGCGUAAAGCGCGUGUAGGCGGCCGAGUAAGUCGGGUGUGAAAGCCCAGGGCUCAACCUUGGAAGUGCACUCGAAACUGCACGGCUGGAGUCUCGGAGAGGGAAGUGGAAUUCUGGGUGUAGAGGUGAAAUUCGUAGAUAUCCAGAGGAACAUCAGUGGCGAAGGCGGCCCCCUGGCCAAAAGACUGACGCUCAUGUGCGAAAGUGUGGGUAGCGAACAGGAUUAGAUACCCGCGUAGUCC